AGACAGUCCUAGCAAAAUUCUAGCUUGAGAAAUUGCUCUUUGCUAUUUUUGACCAUUUUAAAUCACAGCAAGGUACUUAAUUGUUACCCAGAAAUGAUUUGAUAUUGAGAUAAAACGGCUGCAUUGGACCUUUAAGCACUUGUGAGGGAGAUCCCCUAGAGCUUAUAGUCUACGAGCCUACAGCGACUUCAGAAAAACAAUCAAGUAUCUUCCUCAGUGAGUCAUUGAAAGUAGUGAGAAGUUAGUCACCCAUAUUCAGAAGUGGUUUCAGGACAGGUUCACUGCAGAGGUGUUGAAGAGAUGACAGUAAUUCAAGUAAGAAUGACAGCUACUGCACAUUGUUGUCACUCAUUUUAAGGGGAGGUGAGUACGGACAAGAUGAACUCUAUCAAAGACAGUGAGAAGAUGGGCAUCUUCAAGCAGACAGAAGGUUGCUCAAGAAGUUCUGGACAACUGCUGGAGCCUGGGAGAUAUCUGGUGAUGUUGACGAUAGCUGCAGCCUACUUCCUACACUCUCUGAUCCAGCAGUAGUUUAUACUGUAGAUCUAGGUUUGCAUCCCAAAUGGCACCCUAUUCCCCAUAUAGUGCACUACUUCUGACCAGAGACUUUUAAAACAUUUUAUUUUUUAUUUCACCUUUAUUUAACCAGGUUUGCCAGUUGAGAACAAGUUCUCAUUUACAACUGCGACCUGGCCAAGUUAAAGCAAAGCAGUGCGACACAAACAACACGGAUUUACACAUGGAAUAAACAAAUGUACAGUCAAUAACACAAUAGAAAAAAUCUAUAUACAGUGUGUGCAAAUGAGGUAAGAUUAGGGAGGUAAGGCAAUAAAUAGGCCGUAGUGGCGAAGUCAUUACAAUUUAGCAAUUAAACACUGGAGUGAUAGAUGUGCAGAAUGAAUGUGCAAGUAGAGAUACUGGGGUGCAAAGGAGCCAAAAAAUAAAUAAAAAAAUAACAAUAUGGGGAUGAGGUAGUUGGAUGGGCUAUUUACAGAUGGCCUAUGUACAGGUGCAAUGAUCUGUGAGCUGCUCUGACAGCUGAUGCUUAAAGUUAGUGAGGAAGAUAUGAGUCUCCAGCUUCAGUGAUUUUUGCAACUCAUUCCAGUCAUUGGCAGCAGAGAACUGGAAGGAAAGGCGGCCAAAGAAGGAAUUGACAUUGGGGGUGACCAGUGAAAUAUACCUGCUGGAGCGCGUGCUAUGGGUGGGUGCUGCUAUGGUGACCAGUGAGUUGAGAUAAGGCGGGGUUUUACCUAGCAAAGACUUGGGCUUUGGUCAAAAGUAGUGCACUGUAUAGGGAAUAGGGUGCCAUUUGGGCAUUGCCCUAACCCUCACUCUGAAUCAACACUGGAACUGUCAAAUAUUCCUAUUUUCUAAACUGCAAUGAAGUCUAUAUUUUGAUGAUCGUUUUGUCAUUGAUCUGAAUGGUGUGGGUUUGAAUUUGCUCUUGAAGCAAGCAUUUUGUUGUUUAUUCGUUUUUUAUCCUAGAUAUAAAAAAUAUAUAUACUUUAGAUGCCAACUAAAUGCCAACUUCCUGUAUUAUAUUGUAAAUAUUCCACGUUUGGGUAAAUAUGUAUACUGUUUCAGCCCAAUAUCCACAACAUCAAAGCAAACGUAAUAGAGCAACAAUUGUUCAUUGUCCUUCCCUGUCCAAUUACUGUAUCAAAAAUGCAAUUUGAAGGAAAGAGAUGCUGUAAAUGUUUGCAAAUGUGUCCCAUUGUAUGUAUGCAUUGUUUUCUCAUGCAUUAAUGUAUUAAACUGCCACUUUCCCA
rnacentral:lncRNA from 1 species